rnacentral:tRNA from 2 species
CCGCUUUUAGCUCAGUGGUCGAGCGUUGGCUUUGGAAGCCACAGGUCGGUGGCUCGAACCCGCCAGGGCACA